rnacentral:rRNA from 1 species
AUUGAACGCUGGCGGCAUGCUUUACACAUGCAAGUCGAACGGUAACAGGGUGCUUGCACCGCUGACGAGUGGCGAACGGGUGAGUAAUACAUCGGAAUGUACCCAGUAAUGGGGGAUAACGCUUCGAAAGGAGUGCUAAUACCGCAUACGCCCUGAGGGGGAAAGUGGGGGACCGCAAGGCCUCACGUUAUUGGAGCAGCCGAUGGCUGAUUAGCUAGUUGGUGAGGUAAAGGCUCACCAAGGCGACGAUCAGUAGCGGGUCUUAGAGGACGAUCCGCCACACUGGAACUGAGACACGGUCCAGACUCCUACGGGAGGCAGCAGUGGGGAAUCUUGGACAAUGGGCGAAAGCCUGAUCCAGCAAUGCCGCGUGCGUGAAGAAGGCCUUCGGGUUGUAAAGCGCUUUUGUACAGAACGAAAAGGUUUCUACUAAUACUAGGAGCUCAUGACGGUACUGUAAGAAUAAGCACCGGCUAACUACGUGCCAGCCGCCGCGGUAAC